AUACAGAGGGUGCGAGCGUUAAUCGGAAUUACAGGGCGUAAAGCGCGCGUAGGCGGCUUGGUCAGUCGGAUGUGAAAGCCCUGGGCUCAACCUGGGAAUUGCAUUCGAUACUGCCAAGCUAGAGUAUGGGAGAGGGAAGUGGAAUUUCCGGUGUAGCGGUGAAAUGCGUAGAUAUCGGAAAGAACACCAGUGGCGAAGGCGACUUCCUGGCCCAAUACUGACGCUGAGGUGCGAAAGCGUGGGGAGCGAACAGGAUUAGAAACCCCAGUAGUCC
rnacentral:rRNA from 1 species